rnacentral:rRNA from 1 species
CCUACGGGCGGCAGCAGUGGGGAAUAUUGGACAAUGGGCGAAAGCCUGAUCCAGCCAUGCCGCGUGUGUGAAGAAGGCCUUCGGGUUGUAAAGCACUUUCAGUGGGGAAGAAAGCCUUGGGGCUAAUACCCUCGAGGAAGGACAUCACCCACAGAAGAAGCACCGGCUAACUCCGUGCCAGCAGCCGCGGUAAUACGGAGGGUGCGAGCGUUAAUCGGAAUUACUGGGCGUAAAGCGCGCGUAGGCGGUCUGAUAAGCCGGUUGUGAAAGCCCCGGGCUCAACCUGGGAACGGCAUCCGGAACUGUCAAGCUAGAGUGCAGGAGAGGAAGGUAGAAUUCCCGGUGUAGCGGUGAAAUGCGUAGAGAUCGGGAGGAAUACCAGUGGCGAAGGCGGCCUUCUGGACUGACACUGACGCUGAGGUGCGAAAGCGUGGGUAGCAAACAGGAUUAGAUACCCGUGUAGUC